AUACGGAGGAUCCAAGCGUUAUCCGGAAUCAUUGGGUUUAAAGGGUCCGUAGGUGGAUAAUUAAGUCAGAGGUGAAAUCCUGCAGCUCAACUGUAGCAUUGCCUUUGAUACUGGUUAUCUUGAGUUAUUAUGAAGUAGUUAGAAUAUGUAGUGUAGCGGUGAAAUGCAUAGAUAUUACAUAGAAUACCGAUUGCGAAGGCAGAUUACUAAUAAUAUACUGACACUGAGGGACGAAAGCGUGGGGAGCGAACAGGAUUAGAAACCCUUGUAGUCC
rnacentral:rRNA from 1 species